AGUGAACGCUGGCGGUAGGCCUAACACAUGCAAGUCGAACGGCAGCACAGGAGAGCUUGCUCUCUGGGUGGCGAGUGGCGGACGGGUGAGGAAUACAUCGGAAUCUACUUUUUCGUGGGGGAUAACGUAGGGAAACUUACGCUAAUACCGCAUACGACCUACGGGUGAAAGCAGGGGAUCUUCGGACCUUGCGCGAUUGAAUGAGCCGAUGUCGGGUUAGCUAGUUGGCGGGGUAAAGGCCCACCAAGGCGACGAUCCGUAGCUGGUCUGAGAGGAUGAUCAGCAACACUGGAACGGGGACACGGUCCAGACUCCUACGGGAGGCAGCAGUGGGGAAUAUUGGACAAUGGGCGCAAGCCUGAUCCAGCCAUACCGCGUGGGUGAAGAAGGCCUUCGGGUUGUAAAGCCCUUUUGUUGGGAAAGAAAUCCAGCUGGUUAAUACCCGGUUGGGAUGACGGUACCCAAAGAAUAAGCACCGGCUAACUUCGUGCCAGCCGCCGCUGUAA
rnacentral:rRNA from 1 species